UGGUGGAUAGGCGCCGAAAUUUCAGCAGCCGCCGUCGCAUUUGAACCGGCAAUUGUUUUUUUUUCCUCGUUUGUUGUCAUUUUCGUUUUUAAUGGCGGCCUGCUGUCAUUUAAAAUGAAUAAAUAUAUUACUUUUAGAAAAGGGCCGACCUCUCGUGAAGAGAACGAUGGAAUUUAUAGAUUCGGCUGGGAAACUUGUCGAUAAAGCUUUUUUGCUUUUUUAGAUAAACUGACACGAGAGUUUGGUACCUUCUCAAACAGGCAUAAUUUCAAUCUAAUUAAUUGUAUCUGAGAUUUUUUUACCAGAUUUUUUUACUAACAGGGAGCCCUCACUUUUUGCCGUAGCAAAACUGUUGGCAACUGCUCUUGUAAAUCUGAACAGGGUAGAAGUUCUUUGGCAUCCUGUAACAAAUCACCUGCUUGAAGUCAUCAUCCACCCACUUAACCGCUUGAGAGCAUGGGGAAUAGAUGUCAUUACUAGGUUAGUUAGAUCAGUAAUUCAAUAUGAUUAUUCUACCCCUUUAAAAGAAAACCAGGUAACUCUCCGAAACAGUUGGGCUAUUUUUGUUUAGGCAGUUGAAGAAUAGUGAACUCUAUCCCUUAUUAAUUUUACAGAGAUUGCAGACAUUGUUAAUAUCACCAUUAAAUGAGCUGUCUAGUACCAGUUUUACAGACAUGCAGCUAAAGCAAGUUGAUUGUGUGCUCCAUUUGCUGCACAGCUCUGGUGACAUAAUCUCUUUUGGAUGGCCCUUGUUUCUUAAUAUUAUAGGAGCUACCAACAAUUCUCAAG